rnacentral:rRNA from 1 species
AUUGAACGCUGGCGGCAGGCCUAACACAUGCAAGUCGAGCGGAUGACGGGAGCUUGCUCCUUGAUUCAGCGGCGGACGGGUGAGUAAUGCCUAGGAAUCUGCCUGGUAGUGGGGGACAACGUUUCGAAAGGAACGCUAAUACCGCAUACGUCCUACGGGAGAAAGCAGGGGACCUUCGGGCCUUGCGCUAUCAGAUGAGCCUAGGUCGGAUUAGCUAGUUGGUGAGGUAAUGGCUCACCAAGGCGACGAUCCGUAACUGGUCUGAGAGGAUGAGCAGUCACACUGGAACUGAGACACGGUCCAGACUCCUACGGGAGGCAGCAGUGGGGAAUAUUGGACAAUGGGCGAAAGCCUGAUCCGGCCAUGCCGCGUGUGUGAAGAAGGUCUUCGGAUUGUAAAGCACUUUAAGUUGGGAGGAAGGGCAGUAAGCUAAUACCUUGCUGUUUUGACGUUACCGACAGAAUAAGCACCGGCUAACUCUGUGCCAGCCGCCGCAGUAAAAC